CAAAAUGGGAGGUAAAUUUCUCCUAAGGCUAAAUAUCGGCGAGAGACCGAUAGCGAACAAGUACCGUGAGGGAAAGAUGAAAAGAACUUUGAAAAGAGAGUAAAAUAGUACGUGAAAUUGUUGAAAGGGAAACGAUUGAAGUCAGUCGUACCGACGAGAAAUCAACUUAUCGUGUGCGAACUUGUGGGCGUGCGUGAGUUUCGGCCUCGCUGUUUGCAUGUUUGUGCGCUUUGGGUGUACUUUUUCGUAUGGUAGGCCAACGUCAGUUUCGAUUAUCAUAAAAUGACCGGCGGAAUGUAGCUUCGAUUUCGGUUGAAGUGUUAUAGCCUCUGGUAGAUGUGGUGAUUGAGACUGAGGAUUGCAACGAAUAUCCUUUGGGCUAUCCGUCUGGCCUCUGAAAGUUGCUCAGGUGCCGAAAGCGUGCUUACGGUUAUCUAAGAUAACGUUCAACAGGUUAGAACGUGGUUACA
rnacentral:rRNA from 1 species